rnacentral:misc_RNA from 1 species
CACGCCUCCCGCCCGUCACUCACCGCUGCUUCACCUCAGCUGGUUGAUAACAUUUGAACGUCGCUCGUCUCAACAACACACAUAAGAGUAAGCAAAUCUGGAUGGUGUGGGUAAACCUAGCAUCAUGAUAUCAUGUGGAGACGCCCAAGAAUAUGUUCCUUUUGGGCGGGAAUAUCUCGGCUAUCACCCAGGAGAUGUGGGACUGCCUCCACCACGACCAAAUCCAGCACCUCCACACAUAGAUCUUUUAAGACAGCUCGAUACAGUCUCCAUUAAUGGCUCCAAGGAUUGGUGGGAAAUUCGUCACAGCACUGAUGGCUUGACAGAAGAAGAGUUAUAUGUGUGCGGACCAACAGUAGUAUGGUCACGAGGACAAGCUGGGAAUGCAGGGUCUCGUCAGGUCAUUAAGUGUAUGACCUGUGAUUCUUCAGUGCAGUAUGUAAUGUUUGCUACAUUCUACACUUAUCCUGACCAGCCUCCAUUGCUUGGGGAACCUGUCCCAGAGGAGCCAACAGGUGAACUCUUACCUAGUAUCUGUGUCGUGGAGAGUGACAGUUUGAAUGUCUUUACUGAAGAUGGGGAUGACUACUCUGUGGCCUUGCCAUUUCCGGUUCGGAAAGUGUGGCCGGUAAAGUAUGGGAUACUUCUUGAACGUCAGGUUCCAUCAGCUGAAAUAGCGUCUCCAAAACCAGAAGGAGAGCGACUGCCAACAUUCUACAGUUUACUGCAUCCACUAGAUGAAAUAAAUCCUCUUCUCUACAGAGCUGGUUACAGUGGCACUGCUCGACCUGCCUACAUGAGUGACUUGUCUCAACAAGCUGUGUUCAUGUCAACAGAUCCUUCCAUAUGUAUUCUCUACAACUCCAACAACAACAGCCAUACUAUAUGGAAAAUACGUAGAGCAAAACUGGAGGAAAAUAACUUGGUACUUCAAAGCAGUGUUCAAGCCAGUUUAAGUAAUACUCCAGUGUCCUCUGUACUCUCCAACCCUGGGUCAUUUGCACAACUGCAUUCCUAUUCACACAGUCAUUCUCUUUCUCAAAGCCACUCCCAUGUUACUUCUCCUGCUGCUCAAAUAUCUUCCCAUUCACCAACUCCAACAAGUUCUCGUACAAGAUCUAGCAUAUUCCCCAAUAUGCUGACCACGCCGAAGACACAGCAUUCUCAGACACCCAGGAACCAUAUGGCAACCCUCAGCCGAACUCAGUCACCAUCAUUGUUUGGAGGACAGCAUUUAAGGCUAGCUAUGAGUCCUUCUCCAGCUCGAUCACCUGGACCACGCACACCCCGAACAUCACAGCAUACUUUUCUUAAUGAGACCUUAGUUGAGCCAGAACCCUUGGUGCCUGAUAUAUGUUUAGAUCACCUAUGGACAGAUCAUUCACUUGCCCGAGCCACUAAGGCUUUCCUGACAGAGGACAGUGUUGGUCAAAGAUAUCUUUGUUUAAUGCUGUCCCAGGCAGGAAUGCUUCGCUGCAUUAAAUAUGAUUAUACCAAUGAUCAAUCUAGUUUGGUCUUUGGUUCUGUAUGUUCUAUACCUGCCAAAGAUGCAUUACCAAUUAAAGCCCUCAAAAUGAUGAUUGUUGUGGAUGGAAGUAGCAGUCUAUCCCUCUACACAGGUUCUGUCCAUGUGAGUCGUAUUAAUCUUUGCGGAUUACCAACCUUUAACUCCUCACUCUUCAAAGAUUUUUCAUCAUUAAACAUAUCAUCUAGGCUUCAGAGUCCAGCCACUACACCACUUCGUCGAUCAAGUCUUCUCACGUCAAGCAGGCCAACUUCAGCUGCGGAUGCAAAGUUUGAAAUAGGUCUUUCUCCAGUUGUUACUGAAAGGUCCCACAUGGAUGGCUCCUUCAGUGAUGAUCCAAAUUUACCAGUGUCUUCUGCCAUUGUGUCCCUAAGAGAUCCAACUGAUACUCGGGUUACAUUAGAGCAUGCCAAUGGAAAUUUUUAUAGAAUAACUCUCCCUGACGUUACAUCCUCUCCGGUGGUGAAGCAAUCUUUAGCUGCACUCAAACAUGUUCUUCCCCGAGAUGCAGCUCUUCAGUUGGUCAACAAGUGGUAUGCAACCAGGAAUGCCCCAGGGUCUGGUGACUUUUCCCCUCAAGGGGAAUGGACUAUGUUUUCAAUGAUGCUGUUAUCCAUGAUAGGCUAUGACACAGACAAACUAGCUCUAACAUGUCCAGUAGAAGCCUCUGACUCAUGUAGUACUCUUGUGGCUACUAAGAAGUUUCGUGCUGCUGAGAGUGGUUCAGAUAAUGAUUGGGAGUAUAUGUUAUCUUCGUCAUUUCACAUGGCUGCUGGAAAUAGUCUGAGUGAAGUUUUAGGUUUACAGAAAGUUGGUGUGAUGCAAAAGCCAAAAGAAGUUAAUAGGGGUACAGUACAUACAAAUGCACCUCUGUUUUCCCAUUUCCCAUCAAUUCUUUUUGCUCUUCAUUUGGUUUAUGAAGACUUCAAGUUAAAUACUUUACAUUGGGAGUUUUGUAGUUUACUGGUUACAUGUCUGGAUCAACUAGCCUCAGAUUUACGACUUAAUCAGUAUCUCCACCACUAUUGGAGAGAUUUUCCCACUGUGUGCCCUUUACAUGGUCCACCCUCACAGGUACCACUGCAAGAGUCACAAAAGCUGACAUACCCAGGUUACUUCACUGAGAACCCCCCUAAUGUACUAGCUCACUUAUACACAAUAAUGGGAAGCAUUGAACCCGAGCCUUUUCCAUUCAUCCCACAAGUCUGCACUACAACCAAAAACUUGAUUCUGCUAUACUCAGUAGCAGCAGCAGAUUGUGGCUUACAGAAUAUACCCUUGGAGCGAUUUUUGAGGCACAUCAACCCAAAUAAUCCAAAACCAUUUGUGUCAGCUAAUCUGACACUGAAUUUUCAGUUUUGUUGUGAAGCUAUUCCCAAAAUUCAUGAAAAGAUUGUUCUCUUAACAGAUCAACUUGGAUUAACAGUCCGAGACAUUCAACUACUCUCUCCCGGGGUAUCAUUAGUUCUAAUGAAUGCACAGCACAUGUGUCGCACUUGUCCCCCACAGGACUGGCCUGCCUCAGCUUACCACCUUAUCCACAGACCUGAUCUUGUUGCUCACAGGGAAGAAGCUGCGAAAAACGAAAGUGUCAGUGGAAAAAAGUCAAGAGAUCCAUUUAAUAUAAAAGUGAGAAUGCAAGAGGAAAAGAAAGUGUCACAGGCAUCUAAAGAAGAAGAAGAUGGAAUGGAAACCUUGGAUAUGGACAUGCUGGCACUUAGGUGGCGCGAAGAUCAACGCAUAACUGAAGUACAACGCAUGUUUUGCUCGUCCCGUGCCGUUACGAUUAACAUUGUUCAGCGACCAGAAGUAUCAGAUCAUGAUUUCCUUGAAGAACAAGAAAGACAUUUAUAUGCCCUCUGCAUCAGGACAAUGUCACUUCCUAUUGGUCGAGGUAUGUUCACUCUAUUCACCUCUGCUCCAGUAAUUACAGAAACUCUUCCAAUACCUAAACUCAACCUAUCUGGUAGAGCUCCACCAAGAGGAACAACCAUUGAUCUUUCUAAUAUUGAAGUGCCUCCAAACAUGGAUAUGUGGCCACAUUUCCACAAUGGUGUUGCAGCUGGACUCAAAAUUGCUCCUAACUGUGGAGAAAUAGAUUCAACUUGGAUUGUAUACAAUAAACCUAAGGGAUCUUUGGAUAGCCCAACUGAACAUGCAGGCUUUCUCAUGGCCCUUGGACUGAAUGGUCACCUUCGGAACCUUGCAACUGUUAAUAUGCACGAUUACCUAGCUCGUGGACAUGAAAUGACUUGUGUUGGUCUUCUGCUUGGGAUAUCUGUAGCUAAACGAGGAACAAUGGAUAUCCAAACUACAAAACUACUCAGUGUACACUUAGAAUGUCUUUUGCCACCCACAUCAACUGAGCUGGAUGUUCCUCACACUGUUCAGGUUGCAGCCAUAAUUGGAGUUGGUUUAGUCUACCAGGAUACAGCUCAUCGUCAUAUGGCAGAAGUUCUCUUGCAAGAAAUUGGUCGCCCUCCCGGUCCUGAAAUGGAAAAUUCAAAUGACCGAGAAUCCUAUUCCUUGGCAGCUGGGCUUGCACUUGGUUUAGUGCUAUUUGGGAGAGGUGGGGAAGCUGCAGGGUUUACUGAUCUGAACAUUGCUGGAGAACUGUAUCACUAUAUUGAAGGAGGGCAUAAGAAACCACUUUUUGGCAUCCACAAAGAUAAAUAUAAAUCACCAAGUUAUCAAAUAAAGGAAGGUGAUUGUGUGAACAUCGAUGUUACUGCUCCAGGAGCCACCUUAGCUUUGGGGAUGAUAUAUUUUCAAAGUAAUAAUAAAGCCAUUGCAGAAUGGAUGGUUUCACCGAGCACGCCCUACCUAUUAGACCAGGUACGACCUGAUUUCUUGCUCCUGCGCACAGUUGCUCUUGGCCUUAUCAUGUGGGAUGCAGUGAUGCCAACAUCUCACUGGAUUGAGAGCCAUGUGCCUAUGACUGUUCUUACUCAUGUUCAUCGAGGUGGAAAUCACUCCACACCGGGAAUAGAUUAUGAAUCUAUGCAUCAGGCCUACUACAACAUACUAGCUGGUGCUUGUAUGGUCAUAGGAUUGAAGUUUGCUGGGUCUGGCAACAGUGAGGCUUUCCAAAUUUUGUGGAAGUAUACAAGAAUGUUCACCAAUUUCACUAAGAGGAGUGUAGCAGAACUUGCGGGGAAAUCAACCAUAGAAACUUGUCUUAAUGUGAUUCUACUAAGCCUCUCCAUGGUAAUGGCUGGAACAGGGGACCUCGAUGUACUUCGUAUCAUCCGGUACCUCCGCUCCAGGGUGGGGCCGUCUAACUCCACUGUUGGAUAUGGUUCCCACUUGACAAUCCAUAUGGCAUUAGGCUUCCUGUUUCUGGGUGGCGGUCGCUUCUCCUUAGGAACUUCUAACAUGGCCAUUGCUGCUCUCCUCAUUGCGUGUUUUCCCAAAUUCCCAACACAUUCAAAUGAUAAUCGUUAUCAUUUACAACCGAGCCAAGGCUACUGAUGCCUGUUGAUGUAGAUACUGGAAGACUCUGCCAAGUUAAUGUUACAGUCAGGUUCAGUGACACGCAUCAGUACAAGAAUCAAUCAUAUGAUGCCAUGGCUCCAAUUAUGUUACCAGAAUUAUCAAAACUGUCUCAAGUUAUCAUAGAAGGUGACACCAGUAGCCAUCGUUAUUGGCCCGU